AGAAGUUUAAGAUAAAUAGUCCAAGGGCCUUCAAAGCCCUUAGUAAACACUCAUGUUUAACUUCUG
rnacentral:tRNA from 1 species